UACGAAGGGUCCAAGCGUUGUUCGGAAUCAUUGGGCGUAAAGCGCGCGCAGGCGGAUCAGCAAGUCAGAUGUGAAAUCUCGAAGCUCAACUUCGAAACUGCGUCUGAAACUGCUAGUCUAGAGUGUCGGAGGGGGUAGGGGAAUUUCACGUGUAGGGGUAAAAUCCGUAGAGAUGUGAAGGAACACCCAGGGGGAAACCAGUGGACUGGCACGGUGCUGACGCUCAGGUGCGAAAGCGUGGGGAGCGAACCGG
rnacentral:rRNA from 1 species